AACGAACGCUGGCGGCAGGCCUAACACAUGCAAGUCGAACGCUCGUAGCAAUACGAGAGUGGCAGACGGGUGAGUAACACGUGGGAACCUUCCCUAUGGUUCGGAAUAGCUCAGGGAAACUUGAGGUAAUACCGGAUAAGCCCUUCGGGGGAAAGAUUUAUCGCCAUUGGAUGGGCCCGCGUCGGAUUAGCUAGUUGGUGAGGUAACGGCUCACCAAGGCGACGAUCCGUAGCUGGUCNGAGAGGAUGAUCAGCCACACUGGGACUGAGACACGGGCCAGACUCCUACGGGAGGCAGCAGUAAGGAAUAUUGCGCAAUGGGCGAAAGCCUGACGCAGCGACGCCGCGUGGGGGAUGAAGGUCUUCGGAUUGUAAACCCCUUUCGGGAGGGAAGAUGGAAUGGGGGUAACCCAUUCGGACGGUACCUCCAGAAGCAGCCACGGCUAACUUCGUGCCAGCCGCCGCA
rnacentral:rRNA from 1 species